rnacentral:lncRNA from 1 species
AGUUGUAAUGUUUCACAAAUAAUAUAUAGGGGAUAUUCCCUCCGUUUCGGAUUACUUGUCGUUUUAGACUUCGGCACACAGAUUAAAAAAACAUUUAAUUUUAUAUAUUUACUAGAUAAAAACAUCAUUACCAAUACACUUAACCACGUUUCAACCAAUUAAAAAUAUAUUAAAAUAUAAAAUCAAUAAAUUUUGCAUUGAAAUUAUAAAUCGACAUUUAUUUUGAAACAAAAUUUUUACCAACAGACAAAUAAUCUGAAACGGAGGAAGUACUAAAUAUGAUUUUAUUGACUGUAAUACUUUGACCCAAAAAAUGACUGUAAUACAUUUUAUUUAAGGCAAAUCUCCAAAAUAGCACAUUUCUAAGUUUAUAUCACAAAAAUAGCACUCAAAAACUAAAAUGACCAAAAUAACAUCUUUCUAAGUUUAUCCUUUGAAAAUUUUAAUUUUUUUAUUUUUCAAAAUUUGAAAUCUUAUCCCCAAAACCUCAUUUCUCAACUCUAAACCCUAAACCCUAAACUCUAAAUCCUAAACCCUAAACUCUAAACCCUAAACCGUAAACCCUAAACUCUAAACCCUAAACUAUAAACUCCAAACUCUAAACCCUAAACCCUAAAUCCUAAACCCCACCCU